CGGUAAUUCAAAAAAAAUAAAAAUUACUACAAUAAUAGAGAAAAUAACAAACGAACUUCUUUUUCGCGUCGAAUCACGGCGAAUCACAUUUGACGUCACAGGCUGCAUUACGUCAUUUGAAAUUUUGUCACAGUGCAGUAAACAUGGCGUUCUCUUGUACAAAGUAUUGAAAAGGAAUUAUUGCAUGUGUUUCAUUAAUAUUCUGCUUUGGACAUGACUCUAACAAUGGCAAAUAUAAUAGUAGCAUACCGGUAAGUCAGAUUUCUUUAUUUUUCACAAAGCAUUAACAUAGAGGGGGAUAGGAGGGUCCUGAUCCCGAAAUCCCGGGUUUAAAAAC
rnacentral:lncRNA from 1 species